GACGAACGCUGGCGGCGCGCUUAACACAUGCAAGUCGAACGGAAAGGCCUGCUUUCCCUUGUGGAUUGCGGGUACUCGAGUGGCGAACGGGUGAGUAACACGUGAGUGAUCUGCCCCCAACUUGGGUAUAAGCCUGGGAAGCUGGGUCUAAUUCCCGAUAGGACUGCAGGGUGGUGCCUGUGGUGGAAAACGAUUUUCUAGUGGUUGGGGAUGAGCUCGCGGCCUAUCAGCUUGUUGGUGGGGUAAUGGCCUACCAAGGCGGCGACGGGUAGCCGGCCUGAGAGGGUGGACGGCCACAUUGGGACUGGGAUACGGCCCAGACUCCUACGGGAGGCAGCAGUGGGGAAUAUUGCACAAUGGGCGGAAGCCUGAUGCAGCGACGCCGCGUGGGGGAUGACGGCCUUCGGGUUGUAAACUCCUUUCGACCGCGAGGAAGCCACCUGGUUGGAAGGGUGGUGACGGUAGUGGUAGAAGAAGCACCGGCUAACUACGUG
rnacentral:rRNA from 1 species